GCGCUGAAGCGGGGGUACCGCGCGCCGGGCGCGUGGUUGAGACAGACCCUUCGAACCUGACGCGGUUGAUACCGCCGUAGGGAAGCUUCGCCGGACGCCCU
rnacentral:ncRNA from 2 species